rnacentral:rRNA from 1 species
GGACACGACCCCCUAGAAGAAGUCUAAGCCCCGCAACAGAUUUUUCCAAUGACGGGCACUUUUAAAGAGGAGCUAGCGGGGCGCGCUAUUAUUCGGGGAUGGGCCCGGGGCGCAGUAACUAGUUGGUGGGGUAAAGGACUACCAGAGCGACGAGGCGGAGCCCACCUGAGAGGGUGAUCGGCCACACUGGGACUGAUACACGGCCCAGACUCCUACGGGAGGCAGCAGUAGGGAAUCUUCCGCACUGGGCGAAAGCCUGACGGAACAACGCCGCGAGAAUGAUGAAGGUUUUCCGAUCGUAAAGCUCUGUUGCCGGGGAAGAACGUCUUGUAUAGUAACUGCUACAAGAGUGACGGUACCUGAGAAGAAAGCCCCGGCUAACUACCUGCCAUCAGCCGCGGUAAUACGUAGGGGGCAAGCGUUGUCCGGAAUUAUGGGGCGUAAAGCGCGCGCAGGCGGCUCUUUAAAUCUGGUGUUUAAUCCGGAGGCUCAACUUCGGGUCCCACUGGAAACUGGGGAGCUUGAGUGCGGAAGAGGAUAGUGGAAUUCCACGUGUAGCGGUGAAUUGCGUACAGAUGUGGAGGAACACCAUUGGCGAAGGCGACUCUCCCGGCUGUAACUGACGCUCAGCGCGAAGGCGUGGGGAGCAAACGGGAUAAAAUACCCUGGUAUCCACCCCUAAAACGAUGAAAGCUAGGUGUUAGGGGUUUCGAUACCCUUGGUGCCCGAAAUUAACAACAUUAAGCAUUCCGGCCGGGGGGAGUACGGUCGCAAGAACUGAAAACUCAAAAGAAAUUGACGGGGACCCGCACAAGCAGUGUAGUAUGUGGUUUAAUUCGAAGCACGCCGAAAACCUUACCAGGGUGUGGCAGUCCCUCUGACGGCUGUAAAGAAUGUGGCUUUCCUUCCGGACAAAGGAGACAAGAUAGGUGGCAUGAGUUGUCGUCACCUCCUGCUGGUGGAUGUAGAUUAAAGUCACGCAAACAACCCACCCCUCUGCUUUGUUUCCAUCCGGUCAAGCUGGGCAGUCCAAUCUGACAGCAGGUCCCAAACCCCAGGAAGGGAGGGCGUACGUCAGAUCAUCUUUCCCCCCCUGACAUGGGUUACACACGUCCUCCAAAGGCCGGUACAACCGGAAGCGGAGGCGCGACGUGGGGGCGCUCCCUUCUGUAAAAACACUGAACAUUAAUUAAGCGGUAGGUUUUUUUUAUGAAGAAAACGUUGUGGUUGGGGAAAGGGCCGAAAGUCGCGGUGAAGCUAAGGUGCAAGGGGGUCCCACCACCCAGGCGGUCCCCAGUGGC